AGAGUUUGAUCCUGGCUCAGGAUUAACGCUGGCGGCAUGCCUAAUACAUACAAGUCGAAUGUAGCAAUACAUGGCGGACGGCUGAGUAACGCGUGGGAACUUACCUUCGAGUUCGGCAUAACCCACCGAAAGGUGGGAUAAUUCCGGAUACACCCGCAAGGGAAAAGAUUUAUCGCUCGAAGAGAGGCCUGCGUUCGAUUAGCUUGUUGGUGGGGUAAAGGCCUACCAAGGCUGUGAUCGAUAGGGGGCUUAAGAGGGUGACCCCCCAGACUGGGACUGAGACACGGCCCAGACUCCUACGGGAGGCAGCAGUAAGGGAUUUUCCGCAAUGGACGAAAGUCUGACGGAGCAAUGCCGCGUGCAGGAUGG
rnacentral:rRNA from 1 species